UUACCGGCUUGAAAGGAAUGAAAGACCGAAAGGCCUAGGUGCUGCAUGGCUGUCGUCAGCUCGUGCCGUGAGGUGUUGGGUUAAGUCCCGCAACGAGCGCAACCCUAUCUUAGUUGCCAUCAGAUGGGACUCUAAGAGACUGCCUGCGCAACAGGAGGAAGGUGGGGAUGACGUCAAGUCAUCACGGCCCUUACGCCGGGCUACACACGUGCUACAAUGGGAUACAAGGGGCAUGGUAACAGAUGCAAUCUUAAAUCAUCUCAGUUCGGAUUGAGGUCUGCAACUCGACCUCAUGAAGCUGGAUUCGCUAGUAAUCGCGAUCAGCAUGCGCGGUGAAUACGUUCCCGGGCCUUGUACACACCGNCCGUCAAGCCAUGGAAGUUGGGGACCGAA
rnacentral:rRNA from 1 species